GGGGAAUUGUUCGCAAUGGGCGCAAGCCUGACGACGCAACGCCGCGUGGAGGAUGAAGAUCUUCGGGUCGUAAACUCCUGUCGAAUGGGACGAACGGAUCGCGUGUGAACAACACGUGGUCGUGACGGUACCGUUAAAGGAAACCCAGGCUAACUCCGUGCCAGCAGCCGCGGUAAUACGGGGGGGGUAAGCGUUGUUCGGAAUUAUUGGGCGUAAAGCGCGCGCAGGCGGCGAUUUAAGUUCGGUGUUUAAGCCCGGGGCUCAACCCCGGAUCGCAUCGAAAACUGGAUGGCUUGAGUGCAGGAGAGGGAAGCGGAAUUCCACGUGUAGCGGUGAAAUGCGUAGAGAUGUGGAGGAACACCAGUGGCGAAGGCGGCUUCCUGGCCUGUAACUGACGCUGAGGCGCGAAAGCGUGGGGAGCAAA
rnacentral:rRNA from 1 species